ACACCUCCAGCACCCAUCCAUCGCACAACACCUCCAGCACCCAUCCAUCCACCACGCAGCACUCCAUUCAUUCAUCACGCAAGCCUGCAGAGGAACUCCCUCACGCACCGGCUCGCACCUACCCGGCAGGAGGAAGAAUGCAGGCACCCGAGCCGGCGUACAUGGAGAGAGGAGGCCGGCGUACAGGGAGCUCGGCGGCUGUGACAUGGACGCGAAGCUCACCUUCCCCGAGGGUAAAACUUUGAUCUAACCCAUCCCUUUCCUUGUUCCUUCUUUGCAUAUAGCAUGCACGCACACAGGUCGGGAGCGUUGCCGAAAGUAAUGUUCGCAUGAUCGGACCCC
rnacentral:lncRNA from 1 species